UUUUCGACCUGAACUCAGACGUG
rnacentral:rRNA from 2 species